CCAUGUUUAGAGUGUGGGCGUGGAUACCCACACCAAGUUAGAAAUCAGAAGCAAGCUUGUAGCCCUGGAGUGCUAUUUGGAGCCGUUCUGGAGGUGUAAUGAAGCCGUUUUAAAUAAGGGAUAUUUUCAGCAUAAAAUGCUUAACAGAUCAAAUGCCUCUGGGCUUCUGCAGGUUUCAGAGGAAGCAGAAUGGAAAGCCACACUGAUGAAACGCUGCUAACAGGCAAAUGUUCCCUUUCUCCAUGAGGAGCAAAAAUGGGAAUUAGACUUCAGACACUGGAGGGAUAAAUCCCCCGGGGGCGGAAGGAGGAUUUUAAGAGCUUUAAGAAUUUCCCCAGCCGUCUCUGACACAAUAUACGCAGCCUGCACUUGAUGAGAAUGAAGAAAAAAAAACCCAGAUGAUACAUAUAUAAAAUUCAUGUACUGUGAUCCUUCCCACAACCUGUGAAGGCUGAACCGGACAAACUAGGACCUUCAUUUGUUUCUAGGACCUUGAAGACUCAGCCCACGGUCCACGGUUAUCAUAGUUUUCCAGUAGGUUUAGUGCCUCCUCAAAGCUGGGGGAUGGAAAAACCACAUCCAAUGUGUAGUUUUGCAAGUUUAAAUAUUUUCACAGUUCCCAACCCAACGGCAAGGAGAUCCAACAGCACGGCUGCAAAGGAAAGCUGAACAAGGCAAUUUGACUCCAAAAGCUGUUUGCGGGUAUUAAGAUAUUCCAUUGUCCUCCCUCCACUCCCCUCCGUGUGCUCUUCUGGAAUGAGAGACGUCGACUCUCCAGGC
rnacentral:lncRNA from 1 species